AGUGAACGCUGGCGGUAGGCCUAACACAUGCAAGUCGAACGGCAGCACAGUAAGAGCUUGCUCUUACGGGUGGCGAGUGGCGGACGGGUGAGGAAUACAUCGGAAUCUACUUUUUCGUGGGGGAUAACGUAGGGAAACUUACGCUAAUACCGCAUACGACCUACGGGUGAAAGCAGGGGAUCUUCUGACCUUGCGCGAUUGAAUGAGCCGAUGUCGGAUUAGCUAGUUGGCGGGGUAAAGGCCCACCAAGGCGACGAUCCGUAGCUGGUCUGAGAGGAUGAUCAGCCACACUGGAACUGAGACACGGUCCAGACGCCUACGGGAGGCAGCAGUGGGGAAUAUUGGACAAUGGGCGCAAGCCUGAUCCAGCAAUACCGCGUGGGUGAAGAAGGCCUUCGGGUUGUAAAGCCCUUUUAUUGGGAAAGAAAAGCAGCAGGUUAAUACCCCGCUGUUCUGACGGUACCCAAAGAAUAAGCACCGGCUAACUUCGUG
rnacentral:rRNA from 1 species